rnacentral:rRNA from 1 species
AUUGAACGCUGGCGGCAUGCCUUACACAUGCAAGUCGAACGGCAGCGGACCUUCGGGUGCCGGCGAGUGGCGAACGGGUGAGUAAUAUAUCGGAACGUACCUUUCAGUGGGGGAUAACGUAGCGAAAGUUACGCUAAUACCGCAUAUUCUGUGAGCAGGAAAGCAGGGGAUCGCAAGACCUUGCGCUGAUUGAGCGGCCGAUAUCAGAUUAGCUAGUUGGUGAGGUAAAGGCUCACCAAGGCGACGAUCUGUAGCGGGUCUGAGAGGAUGCUCCGCCACACUGGAACUGAGACACGGUCCAGACUCCUACGGGAGGCAGCAGUGGGGAAUAUUGGACAAUGGGCGCAAGCCUGAUCCAGCAAUGCCGCGUGUGUGAAGAAGGUCUUCGGAUUGUAAAGCACUUUCGACGGGGACGAUGAUGACGGUACCGUAGAAGAAGCCCCGGCUAACUUCGUGCCAGCAGCCGCGGUAAUGUGUG